GCCGGGAUGGCGGAAUCGGUAGACGCGCCAGACUUAAAAUCUGUUGGGCUCACGCCCGUGCGGGUUCAAGUCCCGCUCUCGGCACCA
rnacentral:tRNA from 1 species